rnacentral:rRNA from 1 species
UACGAAGGGGGCUAGCGUUGCUCGGAAUCACUGGGCGUAAAGCGCGUGUAGGCGGCCAGAUAAGUCCGCUGUGAAAUCUCGAGGCUCAACUUCGAGCUGUCGGUGGAAACUGUCUGGCUAGAGUCCGGAAGAGGAGAAUGGAAUUCCUGGUGUAGCGGUGAAAUGCGCAGAUAUCAGGAAGAACACCCGUGGCGAAGGCGGUUCUCUGGGACGGUACUGACGCUGAGACGCGAAAGCGUGGGGAGCGAACAGG